AACGAACGCUGGCGGCAUGCCUAACACAUGCAAGUCGAACGAGACCUUCGGGUCUAGUGGCGCACGGGUGCGUAACGCGUGGGAACCUGCCCUUAGGUUCGGAAUAACUCCCCGAAAGGGGUGCUAAUACCGGAUAAUGUCUUCGGACCAAAGAUUUAUCGCCUUUGGAUGGGCCCGCGUUGGAUUAGCCAGUUGGUAGGGUAAAAGCCUACCAAGGCGACGAUCCAUAGCUGGUCUGAGAGGAUGAUCAGCCACACUGGGACUGCGACACGGCCCAGACUCCUACGGGAGGCAGCAGUGGGGAAUAUUGGACGAUGGGCGAAAGCCUGAUCCAGCAAUGCCGCGUGAGUGAUGAAGGCCUUAGGGUUGUAAAGCUCUUUUACCCGGGAUGAUAAUGACAGUACCGGGAGAAUAAGCUCCGGCUAACUCCGUG
rnacentral:rRNA from 1 species